rnacentral:rRNA from 2 species
UACGAAGGGUCCAAGCGUUGUUCGGAAUCAUUGGGCGUAAAGCGCGCGCAGGCGGAUCAGCAAGUCAGAUGUGAAAUCUCAGGGCUCAACCCUGAAACUGCGUCUGAAACUGCUAGUCUAGAAUGUCGGAGGGGGCAGGGGAAUUUCACGUGUAGGGGUAAAAUCCGUAGAGAUGUGAAGGAACACCGGGGGCGAAGGCGCCUGCCUGGACGACUAUUGACGCUGAGGCGCGAAAGCGUGGGGAGCAAACAGG